UCUUCUCUCCUCUCUUCACUGUUUUCUCCCGACGACGACGCCGUCCGCAAUUGCCUUCCGUCGCUGCCGUCUGCAAUCGCCAUUCGUUGCCGUCGUCCGCAACCGCCUUCCGUCGCCGCCGUCUGCAAUCGCCUACCGUCGCCGCUGUCCGCAACUACCAUCGAUCGCCGCAACCGCUGCCAUUCGUGAGCCACAACCAAUGUUGCUGCAAUCCGCUCCAGCCACAUCCGCUACCGCCUCUUCUAGUCUGCGUCGCCUUAGCCUCUGCCAGCCACCGCCGCCCCAGUCGCUACCAGCCAUCGCUGCCAGUCACGUCGCCACCAGCCCUUCCACCUACAUUUCUUAUCAAAAAGCUCUUAGGGCAGACUCUUCAUAUAAAGCAGCUGCAGAAUGCCUUGCAAUUGUAUUAACGGACCUUGGAACCAGCUUAAAGCUUGCUGGUAAUACCCAGGAAGGGAUUCAGAAGUACUAGGAAGCAAUUGAAAUAGAUAAACACUAUGCUGUAAAUUCAUCAUUCUCUAACUUUUGUCCUGAUGCAGAAUUAGCAAAGAUAUUAGAUUUUAAUGGAUUGUGAUACAUGCAGCCUGCUUAUUAUAACCUUGGUGUCAUCCAUUAAGGUUAUCUUCAUUUUAUAGUCAAGUUUAUUUUCAAUGGUAUAGAAUUGUUAUUGAAUUAAGUUAUCAAAAAGAAAAAAAAGUCAUUGCUGUUGUUGAA